UUGUGUCUACUGACUGCAUAGUCAAUGCAUUACUUCAUAAGACCACUCAAGAUAGUUUUAUAUGUAGUUAAGGAGUCUAAUUAGUUAGCAUCAGGAUUAGGACUCCUAGUGAGACUAAUUAGGCUCUUGGGCUUUCAUUAAAAUUUUCAACCUUUAUUUUUAAUACUUGUGCUCUGUAACUGUAAAUUUUCUAUAUAUAGGGAGCUUUGGAAGACGAACUAUCCGCAGCAAAGAGCCAGCAAAAACCUUAGACACAGUAUUAAGAUGGGUUGGACUUUAGGGAGGGCACCUGUAUAUGAUGUUAAUAUGUAACUUGCUUCAUUGACUUUGCAGUAUUUCGACGGAUAUGGGUAUCAUGGAACCUCAUUUGAGCAGACAUAUCGAUGUUACCCUUCAUCCUUUAUCGAUAAGGAUAAUUGGCCUUCUAUGAUGUUUGCAAUGGCAGGAGGGGUGGUACUUAGCCUUGGAAAUCUCUCAACUCAUUAUGCUUGGGCUUUUGUUGGCUUAUCAGUCAGAGAAGUGAUCACUGCAAGCAUAACAGUUGUUAUAGGAACAACCUCGAAUUACUUUUUAGACAAUAGAAUUAAUAGAGCCGAGAUCCUUUUCCCUGGCGUUGGCUGCUUCUUGGUUGUAGUUUUCCUUGCUUCUACUGUCCACUCAUCUAAUGCAGCUGAUAAUAAAGAAAAGCUUGAAGGUUUUUCAUCUAAAGAGGGGUGUUUGGGAAAAGCACUGUCAUUGGACUGUCCAUAUGUUUCUUUGCUGGUGUUUUCUUUUCUCUAUUCUCACUAACAUUCAACUUGGCAACAAAUGAUCAAUGGCAUACAUUGAAAGAUGGGGUUCCUCACUUGGUUGUCUACACUGCAUUCUUUUACUUCUCAGUAUCUUGUUUUGUCCUUGCUAUAAUCCUCACAUCACAUUCCUUUACUACCCUAUGCUGGACUUACCGAAAUCAUCAUUCAAGGCUUAUAUGUUGAAUAUUUAAGACUACUUGA